AACGAACGCUGGCGGCGCGCCUAAUACAUGCAAGUCGAACGAGAAGGUGUAGCAAUACACUUGUACAGUGGCGAACGGGUGAGGAAUGCAUGGGCAACCUACCCUCGAGUGGGGAACGAACCAGCCGAAAGGUUAGGCUAAUACCGCGUACGCUUCCGGGUCGUCCGGAUCCGGAAGGAAAGUACACACCGUGGGUGUGACGCUCAAGGAUGGGCUCAUGUCCUAUCAGCUUGNGGUUGAGGUAACGGCUCACCAAGGCUUCGACGGGUAGCUGGUCUGAGAGGACGAUCAGCCACACUGGCACUGCGACACGGGCCAGACUCCUACGGGAGGCAGCAGUAAGGAAUAUUGCGCAAUGGGCGAAAGCCUGACGCAGCGACGCCGCGUGGGGGAGU
rnacentral:rRNA from 1 species